AAGCAAGUAUCUAGAGAGCAGACACCCUGCCCAAGUCAGAUUUCAUUGGAAACCUUCCUUUGUGGGGAUUAACCCCAGCACCUGCUAUUUGUUGGAGGAAAACACUGAAUUUCCUUAGGAGACUUUUGGGAUUUACCCAUGCACACUGAAUUUUCUCCUCUGGAGUGAUGUAAAGGCUUUGAACUGCCAUUUGAAGAUGGAGUGAAUGAUUUCUAGUCUUGCCUAAGACAGAGGAUUUGGAGGCUUGUUAGCGAUGCUGUCCCUGUGCGGAGAUAAGGAACGCUUCCAGCAGAACCGAAAGACAACAGGGGUAACUAAUGCAAAUCCCCAAUACUGAAACAAAGCAGACAGGCCGGUGAAAAUCUUCAGACAAUUACCAGGCAGCGUGAGGAGGGCUUCUCUGCGGCGACUGCAGUGAAUGCAGGAUACUAAAGCAGUCGUGACAGUGCACAAAGCUCAAGCUCACCCUGCUGCAUCUCUGCCUUAGUCCUGGUGAGUCGCAAAUGUCUCCUGCUACUCUACUUCGGAGCUUCUGCC